rnacentral:rRNA from 1 species
AGUGAACGCUGGCGGUAGGCCUAACACAUGCAAGUCGAACGGCAGCACAGGAGAGCUUGCUCUCUGGGUGGCGAGUGGCGGACGGGUGAGGACUACAUCGGAAUCUACUCUGUCGUGGGGGAUAACGUAGGGAAACUUACGCUAAUACCGCAUACGACCUACGGGUGAAAGCAGGGGAUCUUCGGACCUUGCGCGAUUGAAUGAGCCGCUGUCGGAUUAGCUAGUUGGCGGGGUAAAGGCCCACCAAGGCGACGAUCCGUAGCUGGUCUGAGAGGAUGAUCAGCCACACUGGAACUGAGACACGGUCCAGACUCCUACGGGAGGCAGCAGUGGGGAAUAUUGGACAAUGGGCGCAAGCCUGAUCCAGCCAUACCGCGUGGGUGAAGAAGGCCUUCGGGUUGUAAAGCCCUUUUGUUGGGAAAGAAAUCCAGCUGGCGAAUACCCGGUUGGGAUGACGGUACCCAAAGAAUAAGCACCGGCUAACUUCGUGCCAGCCGCCGCAGUAA